rnacentral:misc_RNA from 1 species
AACUGGUUUCAUAUAUGACCGAAAAGAUUUAAGCAAAGUUUGUGCUUUACCAUUUUUGUUUUAAGUGUGUAUAUGUAUGCCUGUGUUAUUGUUGUUGUUGUUAUUACUAUUAUUCUUUGAGAUUAUUUCUUAUCCAAGUGUGGCAUUUCCUAUAUGUUUCUCUGAAAUUUCAUUUGGAUUAGAGUCUACCCUGCUUUAAUAUUGGACCACCCGUAAAUGUGUUUACCUAUAAACUUCACGAUCCAGAUGUUCAUGCCCAAGCGUGAGGGAGGUGUAUUGUCCCAUAUUGGUAUGGGAUAAGGUGUUUAUGUUAUAUAUAAGACUUGGCAAACCUCCUCCCCUUGAGCUAACUUUUAAAGUGGAGUUAGGCCCGAUCUAUUUUCUUUACAGUUUCUGAACCCUUUUUCCUCAUGCUCACAUGGUACCAUAUUCCCUCACUCUAUGGUGCAGAAAACUCUAUUGUUUUUUAAUUCUUUCCAAAACAAUUUGAUUUUUGUGGUAUGGUAAUGCUGGCCUUUACAAUUGUGCUCAGCACCUACACAUAGAAGUGCACUCUUUACCAUCUUUAGCUUUGUUGCAAAUUUUCAUCCCAUCCAUUGCCAUAACAUAGGCUAUUAUUUAGAUUUUUUUUUUCUUUUGCCUUGGUUGCUUAUUUUUUAUUGUGGUGCAUCCUUUUUUUUCUUUGGGUGGCUGAGAAUUUCUAGGUUUUAGAUGUUUAAUAAUUUUAUUUUCAUUCACUUGGUGCAGAUUGAGAAAUUUACUCAUCAGAUG